AGAACGAACGCUGGCGGCAUGCCUAAUACAUGCAAGUCGAACGAACUCUUCGGAGUUAGUGGCGCACGGGUGCGUAACGCGUGGGAAUCUGCCCCUUGGUUCGGAAUAACAGUUGGAAACGACUGCUAAUACCGGAUGAUGACGAAAGUCCAAAGAUUUAUCGCCAAGGGAUGAGCCCGCGUAGGAUUAGCUAGUUGGUGAGGUAAAGGCUCACCAAGGCAACGAUCCUUAGCUGGUCUGAGAGGAUGAUCAGCCACACUGGGACUGAGACACGGCCCAGACUCCUACGGGAGCAGCAGUAGGGAAUAUUGGACAAGU
rnacentral:rRNA from 1 species